rnacentral:rRNA from 1 species
GCUUCCAGGAAAAGCCUCUAAGCAUCAGGUAACAUCAAAUCGUACCCCAAACCGACACAGGUGGUCAGGUAGAGAAUACCAAGGCGCUUGAGAGAACUCGGGUGAAGGAACUAGGCAAAAUGGUGCCGUAACUUCGGGAGAAGGCACGCUGAUAUGUAGGUGAAGUCCCUCGCGGAUGGAGCUGAAAUCAGUCGAAGAUACCAGCUGGCUGCAACUGUUUAUUAAAAACACAGCACUGUGCAAACACGAAAGUGGACGUAUACGGUGUGACGCCUGCCCGGUGCCGGAAGGUUAAUUGAUGGGGUCAGCGCAAGCGAAGCUCUUGAUCGAAGCCCCGGUAAACGGCGGCCGUAACUAUAACGGUCCUAAGGUAGCGAAAUUCCUUGUCGGGUAAGUUCCGACCUGCACGAAUGGCGUAAUGAUGGCCAGGCUGUCUCCACCCGAGACUCAGUGAAAUUGAACUCGCUGUGAAGAUGCAGUGUACCCGCGGCAAGACGGAAAGACCCCGUGAACCUUUACUAUAGCUUGACACUGAACAUUGAGCCUUGAUGUGUAGGAUAGGUGGGAGGCUUUGAAGUGUGGACGCCAGUCUGCAUGGAGCCGACCUUGAAAUACCACCCUUUAAUGUUUGAUGUUCUAACGUGGACCCGUGAUCCGGGUUGCGGACAGUGUCUGGUGGGUAGUUUGACUGGGGCGGUCUCCUCCUAAAGAGUAACGGAGGAGCACGAAGGUUGGCUAAUCCUGGUCGGACAUCAGGAGGUUAGUGCAAUGGCAUAAGCCAGCUUGACUGCGAGCGUGACGGCGCGAGCAGGUGCGAAAGCAGGUCAUAGUGAUCCGGUGGUUCUGAAUGGAAGGGCCAUCGCUCAACGGAUAAAAGGUACUCCGGGGAUAACAGGCUGAUACCGCCCAAGAGUUCAUAUCGACGGCGGUGUUUGGCACCUCGAUGUCGGCUCAUCACAUCCUGGGGCUGAAGUAGGUCCCAAGGGUAUGGCUGUUCGCCAUUUAAAGUGGUACGCGAGCUGGGUUUAGAACGUCGUGAGACAGUUCGGUCCCUAUCUGCCGUGGGCGCUGGAGAACUGAGGGGGGCUGCUCCUAGUACGAGAGGACCGGAGUGGACGCAUCACUGGUGUUCGGGUUGUCAUGCCAAUGGCACUGCCCGGUAGCUAAAUGCGGAAGAGAUAAGUGCUGAAAGCAUCUAAGCACGAAACUUGCCCCGAGAUGAGUUCUCCCUGACCCUUUAAGGGUCCUGAAGGAACGUUGAAGACGACGACGUUGAUAGGCCGGGUGUGUAAGCGCAGCGAUGCGUUGAGCUAACCGGUACUAAUGAACCGUGAGGCUUAACCUUACAACGCCGAAGGUGUUU